AUUGAACGCUGGCGGCAGGCCUAACCCAUGCAAGUCGAGCGGAGCGGCGGACGGGUGAGUAAUGCCUAUGAAUCUGCCUGGUAGUGGGGGAUAACGUCCGGAAACGGGCGCUAAUACCGCAUACUAUAAGAAGAGCCUAGGUCGGAAUAGGUCGUUGGUGGGGUAAAGGCCUAGCAAGGCGACGAUCCGUAACUGGUCUGAGAGGAUGAUCAGUCACACUGGAACUGAGAAACGGUCCAGACUCCUACGUGAGGCAGAAGUGGGGAAUAUUGGACAAUGGGCGAAAGCCUGAUCCAGCCAUGCCGCGUGGGUUAAGAAGGUCGUCGGAUUGUAAAGCACUUUAAGUUGGGAGGCGUUACCAACAGAAGAAGCACCGGCUAACUCCGUGCCAGCCGCCGCGGUAAUAC
rnacentral:rRNA from 1 species